AGGUGAUAGCGCGUGGAGCAACCA
rnacentral:siRNA from 1 species